AUCUGAUAACGGAGUACCUCAAAGGCAGAAUUUCACAUAUGUCAGCGUUCAAGUAUUAGAUGUGAACGAUAACCCUCCUCAGUUUACGAGAGCACAUUACUCAGCCAACGUACGUGUAGCAACAGCAGAAGAAGGAGCGUCUGUGCUAUCUGUGUCUGCUACUGACCUUGACCUUGGGAACAACUCUGUUAUUUCAUACAGCCUCCUGAACCAUUCUGAUGAUUUCCGUAUAAAUAACCGCACUGGAGAAAUCACC
rnacentral:lncRNA from 1 species